CCGCCCGAGUACUACGAGCACUAGCUUAAAACUCAAAGGACUUGGCGGUGACUCAGACCCACCUAGAGGAGCCUGCUCUAGAACCGAUAACCCCCGUUUAACCUCACCACCUCUUGUUUUCUCCGCCUAUAUACCGCCGUCAUCAGCCAACCCCAUGAAGGGAAAAUAGUAGGCAAGAAGGGACUACCCCAAAAUGUCAGGCCGAGGUGUAGCGUACGAGGUGGGAUAGAAGUGGGCUACAUUUUCUAUUAUAGAUUAUCACAAAAGGCACCCUGAAACAUGUGCCCGAAGGUGGAUUUAGUAGUAAAAAGUAAAUAGAGUGUACUUUU
rnacentral:rRNA from 1 species